CAGCAACGACUAUUGCUAACAUUUCUUUUACAUAGUCGAACCAAGACUACUUUGAUAUUCCGAGAGUCCCGCUCAUGUUGAGUGAGGACAACCCCAGUUCCCUCUCCUGAAGCAUCUGUCUCAAUAGUAAAUGGCUCUUUGAAAUUAGGUAAAGCCAAGGUUGGUGUAGUGGUCAUAGCUUUCUUCAAGUUCUCAAAUACUUUCCCUGCUUUUGAUGUCCAUUCAAAAAUUUCCUUUUUUAACAGGUUGGUCAGUGGCCUGGCUAAGAGUCCAUAAUUGCACGCAAACCUUCUAUAGUACCCGGUUAAACCCAAGAAGCCUCUGAGUUCGGUGGUGUUGAUUGGUGGAGGCCAGUGAGUCAGUCUGAAUCUUUUUCUGAUCAACUUUUAUCUCGCCAGAGGUGACAAUGUACCCCAGAUACUCAAUCUUUUGUAGCCGAAACUCACACUUCUUUAGCUUGAGAAAGAAUUGAUUCUGUGUUAAGACUUCUAGUACCUGUCUUACAUGAUCAAAGUGGAGGGUCCAAGUAGUACUGUAAACCAAAAUAUCAUCAAAAAAUACUAGAACAAAUUUACGGAGGUCGGAACAUGUUAUUCAUAAGAGCCUGAAAUGUGGAGAGGGCGUUAUAUAGGCCAAAGGGCAUCACCAAAUAUUCAUAAUGGCUACUGUGAGUUCGGAAGGCCAUCUUGUACACAUCAGGAGGAUAUACUCUGACUUGGUGGUACCCAGCUGUAAGAUCCAAUUUAGUGAAAAAGGCGGCACCAUGUAACUCGUCGAACAUGCCAUCCAUGGUUGGGAUAGGGAAGCGAUCUUUGAUGGUAACCGCAUUGAGAGCCCUAUAAUCGGUGCAGAAUCACCAAGGCCAUCUUUCUUCCGUACUAGUAAUACUGAGGAUGAAAAGGGGCUGGUGCGAUAUUGUAUGAGGCCGGUCUUGAGCAUUGCAUCCACCUGUUUCUCUAUUUCAGCCUUCUAAAAGUAGGCGUACCGGUGUGGGUGGACAUUCACCGGUUCAGCCCCUUCGCGAAGGUUGAUGUGGUAGUCAAUUUUUCUGGCUAGUGGUAGUGAAUCAGGUGUGCGGAAGAUUGCUUGGAAUUCAUCGAAAACAGCUUGCAUAUCAGGCCUGACUUCGGCAGUGGGUGUGGUGGAGGCGUCGGUCUUCACACAGAGGGCAAACAGAGAGGGUAGUUUGCUGAGUUCUCUGGCCAUGGUGUUGCUGGAAGUGGAUUGUAUUGGUUCGGUCUGCAUGCCUUGCAAGCGGUGGAGCCGGCGGUCUCUGGUGAACUCCAUCGUCCCAGCUUUCCAAUCACAACAGACCGGACCCAAGCUUUCCAGCCACUAUAUGCCUAGAACCAAAUCCAACCCGAUUAAUGGUAAAGCAAAGAGAGUGAGUCAGAAGGGAAUACUGUUUAGUGGCACCGAGAUAUCCUCAAAGCAGCUCGGCAUCUUAUCAGGUCGCCAUUUGCGACCUUGACCAGGAAGGGAGGUGUCGGCACCACUAGGAGCUGCAGAGAGUUGACGAGUCGCUCACUGAUGAAGUUGUGAGUUGAUCUGUUGUCGAUGAGGGCAAUAGAUUCUUGUUUUUGAAUGGCAGCGCGACCUUCAUGGUUUUUGGAGUCGACCACCUCGUGAGGGCAUGGAGGGAGAUUUCUGGCUUCUCGGGCCUUGCUUCCUCUUCGUCUUCUUCAUUCCCGCAUUCAAGGAGCAAGAGUUGCGGCCGUUUGCACCGGUGGCCUGCGGUGAACUUCUCGUCACAAUGGUAGCACAAACCCUGUGCACAGCAGCAUUGAGCCUCCUUCUACGAGAGUCAUCAGGGUGGAACGUUUGUAGCAGUUAGGGUUUCUAGUUGACCGGUCGGGUUUCGGGGAACCCGGAUCAACCUCCUCUACCGGUUCAGCUGUUCCUCCCUCAUGCGGGCCAGGCUUUCAGUGUUUUGGGCCUGAACAUGUGGAUACCUUCCACGAUUUCGGGCUUAAACCCGCCGAUGAAAGUGCCCACCAGCGCUUUCUGGGUCCAGCUCUGCACUCGAUUGCCCAACUUCUCAAACUCCUUCUGGUAUUUGCAUAAUGGGCCAGACUGCUUCACACGGGAUGGGGCCUUAUCAAAAUCUUCGCACACCGUCGGCCCAAAUCGGGCCCAAAGCUCCUCCUAAAAGCUCAUGUGACCUCUUUCCCUUCUUCUCUGUAUGUGCGGCGAAGCCACUGCCACCGCUGGUUGGCUUCGCCCGUCAGAUAGAAGGCGGCUAAAGAGACCUUCUAGCCGUUGGCGAUGUUCUGGAAGUCGAAGAAUUGCUCGGCUCAGUUACACCAUUCGGUCGGAUCGUCUCCGUCGAAGGUGGGAAAGUCCAACUUUGUGAUUUUAGACCUGAACAGCGGUCGGCCCCCUUCGGUCCGUUCGGGAACUUCUUCGCGAGGCGGAUGCGAUUGCCCGGGAUGGUCGGUGGUGU
rnacentral:lncRNA from 1 species